rnacentral:rRNA from 1 species
GAUGAACGCUAGCGACAGGCCUAACACAUGCAAGUCGAGGGGCAGCAUUAUUAAAGCUUGCUUUAAUAGAUGGCGACCGGCGCACGGGUGCGUAACGCGUAUGCAACCUACCCAUUACAAGAGGAUAGCCCAGAGAAAUUUGGAUUAAUACUCUAUAGUAUUUACUCUAAGCAUUUAGAGUUUUUUAAAGGAUUCGUUCUGGUAAUGGAUGGGCAUGCGUAUGAUUAGCUAGUUGGUAGGGUAACGGCCUACCAAGGCAAUGAUCAUUAGGGGUUCUGAGAGGAUAGUCCCCCACACUGGUACUGAGACACGGACCAGACUCCUACGGGAGGCAGCAGUGAGGAAUAUUGGUCAAUGGACGCAAGUCUGAACCAGCCAAGUCGCGUGCAGGAUGACUGCCCUAUGGGUUGUAAACUGCUUUUAUAUAGGAAUAAUGUUAGUUACGUGUAACUAAUUGAAUGUACUAUAUGAAUAAGCACCGGCUAACUCCGUGCCAGCAGCCGCGGUAAUACGGAGGGUGCAAGCGUUAUCCGGAUUUAUUGGGUUUAAAGGGUGCGUAGGCGGGUUCAUAAGUCAGUGGUGAAAGUCUGUCGCUUAACGAUAGAAUUGCCAUUGAAACUGUGGAUCUUGAAUACAGUAGAGGUAGGCGGAAUAUAUUGUGUAGCGGUGAAAUGCAUAGAUACGAUACAGAGCACCGAUUGCGAAGGCAGCUUACUAUGCUGAGAUUGACGCUGAUGCACGAAAGCGUGGGUAGCGAACAGG